rnacentral:rRNA from 1 species
ACGGGAGGCAGCAGUAGGGAAUCUUCCGCAAUGGACGAAAGUCUGACGGAGCAACGCCGCGUGAGCGAAGAAGGUCUUCGGAUCGUAAAGCUCUGUUGUUAGGGAAGAACAAGUACCGGAGUAACUGUCGGUACCUUGACGGUACCUAACCAGAAAGCCACGGCUAACUACGUGCCAGCAGCCGCGGUAAUACGUAGGUGGCAAGCGUUGUCCGGAAUCAUUGGGCGUAAAGCGCGCGCAGGCGGUCCUUUAAGUCUGAUGUGAAAUCUUGCGGCUCAACCGUAAGCGGUCAUUGGAAACUGGGGGACUUGAGUGCAGGAGAGGAAAGCGGAAUUCCAUGUGUAGCGGUGAAAUGCGUAGAGAUAUGGAGGAACACCAGUGGCGAAGGCGGCUUUCUGGCCUGUAACUGACGCUGAGGCGCGAAAGCGUGGGGAGCAAACAGGAUUAGAUACCCUGGUA